rnacentral:rRNA from 1 species
UACAGAGGCCUCGAGCGUUAGGCGGAAUCACUGGGCUUAAAGCGUGUGUAAGUGGAUGCCUAAGUACCUUGUGAAAUCCUACGGCUUAACCGUGGAACUGCUGGGUAUACUGGGUGUCUUGAGCCACUCAGGGGCUACCGGAACAAACGGUGGAGCGGUGAAAUGCGUAGAUAUCGUGUGGAACGCCAAUGGGGAAAACAGGUAGCUGGGGGUGUGCUGACACUGAGACACGAAAGCCAGGGGAGCAAACGGG